rnacentral:lncRNA from 1 species
GCUCAAGUCCUACCAUGUGACCUUAAGCAGCGGCGUUUGCCCGUGCACGUGCCCUCGCAUCGCGCGCUCCGGGGCCGGGCUCCGGGCGGUUCUCGCCGCUGCAGUUCCACCGGGACUUCCGCGCUUCGGCGGCCUGUCUGACGAGCCGCCGCGCCCAGAGAGGUUCAGGUUGGAGCGACACUUCCCAGAGGGCAGCGGUCACGCCAGAUCUUUGGCUUCCAUUCCGUUUUCGCGCGCUUCUCCCACUUUGCAAGCUCUGGAUUCUCUUUGUUCUUUCCCAGUAGAGGAAUCCCAAGGAGGACUGAUCCGUUUUGGCAGGUGCACAACCAUGGUCUUCCAGGUAUAGUGAGGCUGGUCUAUUUGAGACCCCCCUGGCUUUCUGUUGGCUCCCAUAGGCUUGGAUGCUGCUGCCCCAUCAUGACCGGUGAUGCUUGUCCUGGGUUGUCUGAAGGUUCGCACUUAAGUAUCUCUGGUGAGAUGCCCCACGGACAGCUUUACGCAGCACACUAGGAGGUGGGCUUCUUGAAGAUCCAUUACCAUGGCUUACUCGCAGAGUCCUUUCAGU